rnacentral:rRNA from 1 species
GACGAACGCUGGCGGCGUGCUUAACACAUGCAAGUCGAACGAUGAAGCCGGAGCUUGCUCUGGUGAAUUAGUGGCGAACGGGUGAGUAACACGUGAGUAACCUGCCCUUGACUCUGGGAUAACUGCUAGAAAUGGUAGCUAGUACCGGAUACGACCCUCGGAGGCAUCUUCAGGGGGUGGAAAGAAUUUCGGUCAAGGAUGGACUCGCGGCCUAUCAGCUAGUUGGUGAGGUAAUGGCUCACCAAGGCGACGACGGGUAGCCGGCCUGAGAGGGUGACCGGCCACACUGGGACUGAGACACGGCCCAGACUCCUACGGGAGGCAGCAGUGGGGAAUAUUGCACAAUGGGCGCAAGCCUGAUGCAGCAACGCCGCGUGAGGGAUGACGGCCUUCGGGUUGUAAACCUCUUUUAGUAGGGAAGAAGUGAAAGUGACGGUACCUGCAGAAAAAGCACCGGCUAACUACGUGCCAGCCGCCGCCGUAA